rnacentral:rRNA from 1 species
GACGAACGCUGGCGGCGUGCUUAACACAUGCAAGUCGAGCGGUAAGGCCCUUUCGGGGGUACGACGAGCGGCGAACGGGUGAGUAACACGUGGGUGACCUGCCCUUAGCUCUGGGAUAAGCCUGGGAAACUGGGUCUAAUACCGGAUAUGACUCCAUGACGCAUGUUGUGGGGUGGAAAGCCUUGUGCGGCUAGGGAUGGGCCCGCGGCCUAUCAGCUUGUUGGUGGGGUGAUGGCCACCAAGGCGACGACGGUAGCCGGCCUGAGAGGGCGACCGGCCACACUGGGACUGAGACACGGCCCAGACUCCUACGGGAGGGCAGCAGUGGGGAAUCUUGCGCAA